rnacentral:rRNA from 1 species
UGGGGAAUAUUGCACAAUGGGCGAAAGCCUGAUGCAGCAACGCCGCGUGAGUGAUGAAGGCCUUCGGGUUGUAAAGCUCUGUCUUUUGGGACGAUAAUGACGGUACCAAAGGAGGAAGCCACGGCUAACUACGUGCCAGCAGCCGCGGUAAUACGUAGGUGGCAAGCGUUGUCCGGAUUUACUGGGCGUAAAGGAUGCGUAGGCGGAUUUUUAAGUGAGAUGUGAAAACCCUAAGCUUAACUUGGGGACUGCAUUUCAUACUGGAAAUCUAGAGUGCGGGAGAGGAGAGUGGAAUUCCUAGUGUAGCGGUGAAAUGCGUAGAGAUUAGGAAGAACACCAGUGGCGAAGGCGAUUCUCUGGACCGUAACUGACGCUGAGGCAUGAAAGCGUGGGUAGCAAACAGGAUUAGAUACCCUGGUAGUCCACGCCGUAAACGAUGAGUACUAGGUGUAGGAGGUAUCGACCCCUUCUGUGCCGCAGUUAACACAAUAAGUACUCCGCCUGGGAAGUACGAUCGCAAGAUUAAAA